AUGAAAGGGGAAGUAUCACAGAGAGCAAGGUCGGUGGGGCCAGCCGCGACUGGCCGCUCGCAUGCCCUUGGGCCAGGGCAGGGCACCUGCUGUUCCUUUCGCUUGCUGUGUGAGCUGAGCCGGUGUAGGUGCGGCAAUAACAUGUCAGCCCAGCUGCCCGCCGUCGUCCCCGCCGCCCAGAAGGCCACCGCCGCGGUGAUUUUCCUUCACAGAUUGGGAGAUACUGGGCACGGAUGGGCAGAAGCCUUUGCAGGUAUCAGAAGUUCACAUAUCAAAUAUAUCUGCCCGCAUGCGCCUGUUUUGCCUGUUACACUGAAUAUGAACAUGGCUAUGCCUUUACGGUUUGAUAUUAUUGGGCUUUCACCAGAUUCACAGGAAGAUGAACCUGGGAUUAAACAGGCUGCAGAAAACAUAAAAGCUUUGAUUGAUCAAGAAGUGAAGAAUGGCAUUCCUUCAAACAGAAUUAUUUUGGGAGGAUUUUCUCAGGGAGGAGCUUUAUCUUUAUAUACUGCCCUUACCACGCAGCAGAAACUGGAGGGUGUCACUGCACUCAGUUGCUGGAUUCCACUUCGGGCGUCAUUUCCACAGGGACCUCUCAGUGGCGUCAAUAGAGAUACUUCUAUUCUUCAGUGCCACGGAGAUUGUGACCCUUUAGUUCCCCUGAUGUUUGGUUCUCUUACGGUUGAAAAACUAAAAACAUUGGUGAAUCCAGCCAAUGUGGACUUUAAAACCUAUGAAGGUAUGAUGCACAGUUCGUGUCAACAGGAAAUGAUGGAUGUCAAGCAAUUCAUUGAUAAAGUCCUACCUCCAAUUGAUUGACUCACUAAGAGGCCUUGUGUAGAAGUACACCAGCAUCAUUGUAGUAGAGAACAGACCUUUUCCCAUGCCCAGUCUUCAAAUUUCUAAUGUUUGCAGUGUUAAAAUGUUUUGCAAAUACACCCUAGUGACACAGAUCAGAUAAUGUCUCCUCAUGAGAAAUGUAUGAUCUUUUAAGUUUCUAUACAUGUAUUCUCAUAAGAAGAUUCAGGAUAUACCAUAUUAAAGUAGAUGAAGCAGGUAGCUUCUUUUUUCUCAAAUAUAAGUCAGCAAAAUAAUAUAGUACUGCCACCAGAUUUUUUAUUACAUCAUUUGAAAAUUAGCAGUAUGCCUAAUGAAAAUUUGUUCAGGUAUAAAUGAGCAGUUAAGAUAUAAACAGUUAUGCAUGCUGUGACUUAGUCUAUGGAUUUAUUCCAAAAUUGCUUAGUCACCAUGCAGUGUCUGUAUUUUAUAUAUGUAUUCAUAUAUACAUUAUGAUUGUAAUACAUAAGAAUGAGGUGGUAUUAUGUUAUUCCUAAUAAUAGGGAUAAUGCUGUUCAUUGUCAAGAAAGAGUAAAUUGUUCUCUUCAAUAAAUGGCCCUUUUAUUUUGGGACCAGGUUUUUCUUUUCCCCGAUAUUAUUUCUAUUUAAUAUUCUUUACUCUUCAGAAAAAAAAAA